GGGAAUUUCAUUGAUCCACUCAGCUCAAUCUGGGUUCGACAUACUUGGGCUUGACAAUGCCGCUCACAAGCCCAUUUCAGAGUAUGAAUGGGCUUGGCUCAGAAAAUAAAAAUGCAUCGCACAUCAAUAAUCCCAGCCGUUGGAUCAACAAUUUCAACAGUAAUCAAUCCCUUCUUAACCCUGAUAAAUCAGACCUCCACUCCUCAGUCUUUUCUGGAGUUAAAAAAACCCUAGCUCAAAUCGCCGUACUUUUUUUCUCCGUGUAGGGUUCCUAUUUCCAUGGGGAGGGCAAAUGACGAAUCAUACGCCGAAUCAUUGAAUGCUCGGACAUUUGAUUUGGGUAUUGUGAUUCUUAUUUUUUAAUAGGAAGAUCUGAUGCCUUGCUAUUAUUUUUGUUCUCCCGUUAUUUAAUCGUGGAUUUUAGUACUGAAGCCAUUGAUGACUAUUGGUAGUUCAGCAAAAAUGCUAGUCUACUGGCUUGCAUCAAAUGUUGAAAUAAUUUCAUGAACUAGGACGGUCUGAGGCUUUUUCAUAUUUUCAUUUUCUUUAUUUGUUUUUUCUUUUUUUUUUAAAUCUUGAAAUGCUUAUUAACAGUGUUGUGGAUGAUGAGAAAUAUAAAUUAUCACACAGUUAUCCCUGUCUGAUGCAUUUUUGUGCUGAUUACAUGUGAUCUGACACUAACACUGCUGCUUUUGAUUAUAAGCUCUCAAAAGAAUUUUUGCUUUUUUUGAUAGAAUAUUGAUUUUAAAUAGAGUUGAGUUCGAAUUCAUUACUAUUAUGGGGUGAUAAAACCAAUGAAAGUUGAUUUUAUUUUUUGGAUUUUUUUAAGUCUUGAGCUUUCUAAAUUGUAAAUAACAGGUUAAUUAGAUUAGUUGAUUUUCUGUUCAAAUGGUGGUUCCUAUGCUAAGCAAGCAAGGUUUGUAGAUUCUUUUAUAUGCUACUGUUAGCAGAAAUCUUGCUGACUGAGAUUCUGAUAUUAUCCAGAGUCUUAAAGUUAGGGAGUAUGAGGCACAAUCUACCCCAGUUUGUAAUCUUUUUUUUUCUCUUCUUGUGUGAUUAUUGGUUUUGGGAAUUAGAAUGCAAAUUCUGUUACUGAUAUGAAACCAAAUAUGUAGCUUCAAUGUUAUUGAGAUGUGGAUGUUAAUUGUGGUUUUGGGAAUUGAAAUACAAAUUGUGCAUGAUUGCAUACUGA